GGGGGAACUUUGGACAAUGGGCGCAAGCCUGAUCCAGCCAUUCCGCGUGAGUGAAGAAGGCCUUCGGGUUGUAAAGCUCUUUCGCAAGGGAAGAAACGAUACCGACGAAUAAUCGGUGUUAAUGACGGUACCUUGAUAAGAAGCACCGGCUAACUACGUGCCAGCAGCCGCGGUAAUACGUAGGGUGCGAGCGUUAAUCGGAAUUACUGGGCGUAAAGCGUGCGCAGGCGGUUUUGUAAGUCAGAUGUGAAAUCCCCGGGCUCAACCUGGGAACUGCGUUUGAAACUACAAGGCUAGAGUAUGGUAGAGGGGGGUAGAAUUCCACGUGUAGCAGUGAAAUGCGUAGAGAUGUGGAGGAAUACCAAUGGCGAAGGCAGCCACCUGGACUAAUACUGACGCUCAUGCACGAAAGCGUGGGGAGCAAACAGGAUUAGAUACCCUGGUAGUCCACGCCCUAAACGAUGUCUACUAGUUGUUGGGAGAGUAAAAUCUCUUAGUAACGCAGCUAACGCGUGAAGUAGACCGCCUGGGGAGUACGGUCGCAAGAUUA
rnacentral:rRNA from 1 species